rnacentral:rRNA from 1 species
GGAUUAGAUACCCUGGUAGUCCACGCCGUAAACGAUGAGUGCUAGUUGUCGGGAAGCUUGCUUCUCGGUGACGUAGCUAACGCGUUAAGCACUCCGCCUGGGGAGUACGACCGCAAGGUUAAAACUCAAAGGAAUUGACGGGGGCCCGCACAAGCGGUGGAGCAUGUGGUUUAAUUCGAUGCAACGCGCAGAACCUUACCAGCCCUUGACAUGGAGGUCGCGGGAUCCAGAGACGGAUCCUUUCAGUUCGGCUGGACCUCACACAGGUGCUGCAUGGCUGUCGUCAGCUCGUGUUG